rnacentral:rRNA from 1 species
UGUGCCUAGGGGUGAAAGGCCAAUCAAACUCGGAGAUAGCUGGUUCUCCGCGAAAUCUAUUUAGGUAGAGCGUCAUCCGAAUACCCCGGGGGGUAGAGCACUGGAUGGGUAAUGGGGCCCCACAGGCUUACUGAUCCUAACCAAACUCCGAAUACCCGGGAGUAAUAGAUGGCAGACACACUGCGGGUGCUAACGCCCGUAGUGAAAAGGGAAACAACCCUGACCGACAGUUAAGGCCCCUAAUUCAUGGCUAAGUGGAAAAGCAGGUGAGACGACCAUAACAACCAGGAAGUUGGCUUAGAAGCAGCCAUCUUUUAAAGAUAGCGUAACAGCUCACUGGUCUAAUUAAGUUGUCUUGCGGCGAAAAUGUAACGGGGCUCAAGCCAUGAGCCGAAACUUCGGAUGCAUUUAUGCAUGGUAGCGGAGCGUAGUGUGACAUAGUUCCAUGCGUCUUUAACUUCCUUCGGGGAGUAUUGGACGCAAGGAGCUUUCUGUGAAGCCGGCCUGUGAGGGAUCCGGUGGAGAGAUCACUAGUGAGAAUGAUGACAUGAGUAACGACAAAGGGGGUGAGAGACCCCCUCGCCGAAAAUCCAAGGGUUCCUGCUUAAAGCUAAUCUGAGCAGGGUGAGCCGGCCCCUAAGCCGAGGGCGAAAGCCGUAGGCGAUGGGAACCAGGUUAAUAUUCCUGGGCCAGGAGGAAGUGACGGAUCAUGAAGAUUGUUGGAUCAGGCGUAGUUGCCCCAGCAGUUAAUUGGUUCCUGGAAAUAGCCCUCCAUCAGACCGUACCCUAAACCGACACAGGUGGAUAGGUAGAGUAUACCAAGGCGCUUGAGAGAACUAUGUUGAAGGAACUCGGCAAAAUACCUCCGUAAGUUCGCGAGAAGGAGGCCCGGUUUCUAGGCAACUGGAAGCUGGGGGCACAAACCAGGGGGUGGCGACUGUUUACUAAAAACACAGGGCUCUGCGAAGUCGUAAGACGACGUAUAGGGUCUGACGCCUGCCCGGUGCCUGAAGGUUAAAAGGAGGGGUGAGAGCUCCGAAUUGAAGCCCAGGUAAACGGCGGCCGUAACUAUAACGGUCCUAAGGUAGCGAAAUUCCUUGUCGGGUAAGUUCCGACCUGCACGAAUGGCGUAACGACUUCCCCGCUGUCUCCAACAUAGACUCAGUGAAAUUGAAUUGCCUGUCAAGAUGCAGGCUUCCCGCGGUUAGACGGAAAGACCCCGUGCACCUUUACUACAACUUUACACUGAUAACAGGCACAAUAUGUGCAGAAUAGGUGGUAGGCUUUGAAGCAGGGACGCCAGUCCUUGUGGAGCCUCCUUUGAGAUACCACCCUUAUUUUUCUUGUUAUCUAACUGCGGUCCGUUAUCCGGAUCCAGGACCCUGUAUGGUGGGUAGUUUGACUGGGGCGGUCGCCUCCUAAAGCGUAACGGAGGCGCGCGAAGGUUGGCUCAGAGCGGUCGGAAAUCGCUCGUUGAGUGCAAUGGCAGAAGCCAGCCUGACUGCGAGACUGACAAGUCGAGCAGAGUCGAAAGACGGCCAUAGUGAUCCGGUGGUCCCGAGUGGAAGGGCCAUCGCUCAACGGAUAAAAGGUACGCCGGGGAUAACAGGCUGAU